rnacentral:rRNA from 1 species
AGAGUUUGAUCAUGGCUCAGAAUCAACGCUGGCGGCGCGCCUAACACAUGCAAGUCGAGCGAGAAAGGGGCAACCUGAGUAAAGCGGCGUACGGGUGAGUAACACGUGGAUCAUCUACCCUUUUGUGGGGAAUAACUUUGGGAAACCGAAGCUAAUACCGCAUAAGUCCGAGAGGAGAAAGCAGCAAUGCGCAGGAGGAGGAGUCCGCGGCCGAUUAGCUAGUUGGUGGGGUAAUGGCCCACCAAGGCAACGAUCGGUAGCCGGCCUGAGAGGGCACACGGCCACACUGGCACUGAGACACGGGCCAGACUCCUACGGGAGGCAGCAGUGGGGAAUCUUGCACAAUGGGGGAAACCCUGAUGCAGCGACGCCGCGUGAGCGAUGAAGCCCUUCGGGGUGUAAAGCUCUUUCGACGGGAACGAUAAUGACGGUACCCGGAGAAGAAGCUGCGGCUAACUACGUGCCAGCAGCCGCGGUAAUACGUAGGCAGCAAGCGUUGUUCGGAGUUACUGGGCGUAAAGAGUACGUAGGCGGUUUGCUAAGUCUGGUGUGAAAUCUCCUGGCUUAACUGGGAGGGUGCGCUAGAUACUGGCAGGCUUGAGUAUGGGAGAGGAGAGUGGAAUUCCUGGUGUAGCGGUGAAAUGCGUAGAUAUCAGGAGGAACGCCGGUGGUGUAGACGGCUCUCUGGACCAUUACUGACGCUGAGGUACGAAAGCGUGGGUAGCAAACAGGAUUAGAUACCCUGGUAGUCC